GGAACGCUGCGGCAGGCUUAACACAUGCAAGUCGAGCGGGCGUAGCAAUACGUCAGCGGCAGACGGGAGAGUAACACGUGGGAACGCGCCCUUCGGUUCGGAAUAACUCAGGGAAACUUGAGCUUAAUACCGGAUACGCCCUAACGGGGAAAGAUUUAUCGCCGAAGGAACGGCCCGCGUCGGAUUAGCUAGUUGGUGAGGUAAUGGCUCACCAAGGCGACGAUCCGUAGCUGGUCUGAGAGGAUGACCAGCCUCACUGGGACUGAGACACGGCCCAGACUCCUACGGGAGGCAGCAGUGGGGAAUAUUGGACAAUGGGCGCAAGCCUGAUCCAGCCAUGCCGCGUGGAUGAUGAAGGCCUUAGGGUUGUAAAGUCCUUUUAACGGGGAAGAUAAUGACGGUACCCGUAGAAUAGCCCGGC
rnacentral:rRNA from 1 species